rnacentral:tRNA from 1 species
AGUUAAUGAGCUUGAAUUAAGCAUAUAUUUUGAAAAUAUAAGAUAAGAGUAUAAUCUUAUUAACUU